AUUGUAAUCAGCCGAUGCUCGUCCCAAGCCGAGAAAUUCUAACAUUUGUUAGAAGAAUUGAGAGGGCAAU
rnacentral:ribozyme from 2 species